rnacentral:sRNA from 1 species
AUGUACCAGGCGGACACGCCGGCUCUGCGCGCCGUCCGCACACGGCCUGACUGCCGCGCGCUACGCCUGGUUAGCC